CCACAGUUCUUGGGUAACGAUUGUCGUACUCGGUAGUUGUUCCCAAUGCUGAUCGUCCUUGGCAAAAGAUGUUUAGCUUCGUUGGAGGAAGUCUGGCAGCGGCAGUUCAUUUCAUCGUCUACCAGCGAACGUUGUUUUGGUUUGUGUGUCCGUCCGUGUUAAUGUCUUAUUUAUAGUUCAUAUCAAGCAGUGUAUUCAAUCCGUCCAGCUGGUUGAUCUGUUUAGAGGAUGGAAUCUUGACUGAACGAAUUCUACCCGCUUAUAUUUUUGAAGUGGAUAGGUAAAUCAAGAAGAUAGAAGGGAUCGGUUGUUUGACGUUGGACUGGACUGACAUGUCCUAUACACUGAAACUAUCCUAAUUGCCAGAACGAGUGAACUAGUCUCGGAGGUUUGCUUUUCUGGACGCGAAGAAACCUUAUGAUCAACGGCCGUAAAACACUAGAUGGUGCCGAGUUUCUAAUGCUACCAUGCAUUUCACUUUUUCUCGACUGUUUUGGAUAAGAUUAAUAGUGAACUGGUUUUAAAAUAA